rnacentral:rRNA from 1 species
CCGAACUAGUUACGACAGUUACGUUACAAAGGACUACGUGUUGUAUCUAAAACACACUCCGUAGACGUAGUUUUGAAACGUUUUUUGAUCUUUCCACUACAUAAGUUCUUAUUUAACACCGUUUAACGUUCUCGAUGUGUACUCCGUCUGACCUUCUUCAUGUACGUUCUCUACUUUCUCAACCUGGUCCCCCGGAUACUCAUGAACCUACGUUAACUGGGUUCCGUCACCACGUUCCGGAUAAAGGUACUUGAGGGUUUCACACUAAACGAAGAAUUGUUGUCGACACUUCACAAGUUGUUCAUAUAUGAACUACGGUCUCUUUACGGAUAUCAAUGAACAGAAUUCUUCUAGUUCCUGGUUAAUUACUGAUCCAAAAUAUCGUUCUUAGACCUUAGACUCCUCUACACACCAGUUUAAACAGGUUUUUAAUCUUUUUUUGACCUGUUUUUAUAAUUGUACAGGUUGUUGACGUGACGUAAUGGUCGACCUGUUGUGUAUAAAGUACAAUUUCCGUACCAACCCCUCAUACUACACUUGUAUGUCUUCCUCCUCACAAGAACAUCCCGUACCGUCGAGAGACCUUAAGGUACAUCUGUACCUCAACGUACAAAUUCUGUACUUUCUUAAUUUGGUCUCCUACAACAGUUGUUCACGAUGUCGUAUCUACGAAAGUCUCGACGAAUACCGUUCUAGUAUUACGGUACAUCACUAGGAUCUCACACCGGAUUUUGAUUACCCGGAGUUUACGACGGUGGUGUGAUACUCUUCUUUCAACCAUCCGGACCUUUCUUCUCUUUCUUCUUGGGUGAUCUCCUCCUGUUACCUUGAUCCUACUCGUCUGUACCGUAAUAACCUGUGACGUCACACACGUUAGUUGGUCCUGUGUUGUUUUCUUUCACGGGACUUGAUCCAUCUCCUGUUGGUUGUCGUCGUGUACUCCGUCCUCGUCUUGUUCUAGGUCGUCGUCUUGUUAUAGGUCGUCGUCUUCUCCUUCGUUGUCUUGUACACGUUUGUUGUUUUGUACACGGUUAAGUCCAACACGAAGGUCUUAGUGUUGUUUCUUGAUUUGAUGGUCAGUUCUCUUCCGGGUCAACGUUC